rnacentral:rRNA from 1 species
UACGUAGGGGGCGAGCGUUGUCCGAAGUUACUGGGCGUAAAGCGCGCGUAGGCGGGCUGUUAAGUGAGAGGUGAAAGGCUGGGGCUCAACUCCAGCAGUGCCUCUCAUACUGGCAGUCUUGAGGGCGGUAGAGAGAAGUGGAAUGGCUGGUGUAGCGGUGAAAUGCGUAGAUAUCGGGAGGAACACCAGUGGCGAAGGCGACUUCCUGGCCUGUUCUUGACGCUGAGGCGCGAAAGCUAGGGUAGCAAACGGG